AUGCCGGCCCGGCCCGCCCCGCUCCCGGCGAGGCGGAGCCGCUGACCCGGCGGCCGCGCUCCGCUCUCGGAGCGGCCCGGAGCGCCGAGGCGCGGCAGCCCGGCGGGUUGCGGCAGCCCCCGCCAGCCCUCAGGCCCCGCCACGGUGACGGGAGGGACCGCGCCGCCCCUGGCAACGCCACCAUCGCGCGUUGCUCGGGGCGGGGAGUCGGGGAUUAAUCAGCAGUUCAUUGAGCACCUGCUUAAAAUCACGCCGGGGGGGGAUGCGGUUUAACCUUUUGUCCGAGGUGCGGUACCUCGGGCCUUGCCUGUCCCUCCCAGCAUCGGGAUGCUGGUUCUGCCGGCUCUGCGGAAGCGCUGCGGUGAUGGGCAGACUCCCUUUUGAAAAUCUCUUAAGCAGCCUCAAGUUUGCCUUGCAGUCUUUUUUUUGUUUGUUUUUGUUUGUUUGUUUGUUUGUUUGUUUGGUUUUUUUUCUAUUUUGGAGGUUUCAGUCUCAAGAGGUUGAGGUGGUGGUGGAGGGGUUUCUCGGUCCCCAGGAGUAUUCCUGCACUAGCAGUGCCAGGCUGAGACAGCUCGAGUACUCGAUGCUAGCUUUUCAAUCCGUCUUGGCCCCUUUUCCUCGAGCGUGAGCUGCAAGGAGCUCAGCAGCGACGGCAUUUAGUCAAAGUUGUCAGGAAAGUAGCUUCACACCUUGGGCAAAACCCAGAAUCACCUACCUGCUUUUUAUAUGGCAGCAGCACCUAACAAGGCUUGGGCAUAUCUGUCUUUGUAAGCUACCAUGAGAGCUUCUCCUUGAAAUUUGUUCACUCUUCCCUCAGACAAGGUGCCAGGACAGUGACUUGUUACUUGGUAGUCAGUUCAAUUUCUUCAGAUUAUCUGUAAAUUUUCAAUAAUGGCAAUACAUUCAUUCUACCAUUUGGAGGAGCCUGUGCCACAGAAUAAUGAUCUGAAGAAAGCUCACUUAUUUGCAAGGAAGAGCCUUCAUUUGGGAAACAGUACCGAUGCAGCCAAGAGGUGCUUUGUCAAGUUCAGCAGAACUAUUAUUGUUUCUAGCACAAUCUCCUGUACAUGGACAAAAUCGGGUUUUCCUCAAAGAACAGAGUUCUGUAUCUGAAGAGUAAGAAGGUAUACUACACAAUUGUGGGCAAACUUCUGCACCUCUUGACUUUGUAAAGUUAUGUAAAAUCUAAGCAACAGUUACUAAGAGUUCUUAAUAAUAAUAAAAAAAAAAUCACAUAGAAGACAGCACAUUCAAUCUCAGAGAAGUGACGUGUUUUAAGAGACACUCCGUAUCACUAUAGAAACCAUUUUGGUAGGUGCGAGUUGCUUGUCAGAAAUCCAUUCUGAAGCUUAAGUGCAAAAUGAGCAGGAUACUAAUGAUGGAUAUGAAUGGAUAUCUUAAGGAUAACAAUGGCUAUGGCAUCUUCAAAAGCAGUGGCAUUCUGACAGUAAGGUCUUCUCAGACCCACAGCUGUACAUCGACUGAAAUUUCCUUCUCUAACAGAACCAGUACCUGUACCUACAUUCAAGUGUGACUGCACAAAGUUUAGGUAGCUCUUUAAAUUUCUCAGUUUCUCUCGUCCUGGUACCUGCUGCAUUCUCUCUCUCCAAGAAGGAGUUCCUGGGUGAUCUUUCAGUUUCUUUGUGCUGUCUAUAUUAUUGACCUUUUGAGUCUUCAUUUGUACCCUCUAUUGUCCUAUGUGAUGCUUCAGCCAUUGAUUUUUGCCCUGUUUACCUGACCCAGCCACUGACUAACCCAUGAAGUCCAUUCCUUGCUUUGGCAGUGCUGGCAAUCUCUCCUUCCUGUUCCCCCGCUAUCCCCUGGCCCCCAGACAAUACUAUGUUCUCUUUACCGUCCCAGACACAGUAUAAAAAACUCAAACAAAAUACAUGAAGCUCUAUCCUUACACUCUCUCUUGUUUUUUUUUUUUUUUUUUUUCCCUUGCCUAUCUUAAUAAAAUUAAGACUCUCUGCUCUUUGAGAAAGAACUACGAUUUUCUGUGUCUUUGUAAUGACAUAGCAGGUUAAUAAUACAGUGGGAUAAUGUGUUUUCUAGUAUGUGCUGUGGCAGUAUGGAUUUCAAACUAAACCAGGAUGAUCUAAUCAAGAUAACCCAGCAGUAUAGUGGUGGCAUACUAAGGAACUAGUCCUUAAGGUAUUUCUAGCUACCUUGUUUGUGGGUCAUCAGUAAGUGGUCACUUCUGGGUGCUUUUUAGCAAGAUCUGUGAUGACAAUCCUUGUUAAAAUGACCCUUAAAAAAAAAAAAAAAGAAAAAAUUGGUAGGGGGGAAAAUGUUCAAUUUCAGGUCUUUGAAAAAUAGACAAACUUCUAAUAAACUGGCUGUGAUUGGAAAUGAGCGAAAACACACUUUAGAUAGAACCUGCAGUGAUGGAGAAAAUGAGUUUAUAGUCAUGCUGAUUUUCAUUUUUAAUGUGUUUGCCUUUAUUUCUGACAUAAGAGCUUAAUGUGUCCAAACUUUAGUUGUUUCAAAAUCUUCUAUGACUAUACUGUUGUGAUUGAGCAAUUAAUAGCAUUUAAAGCAAACUUUUAUAAAAGUUACUGCGAGAUUGUGAAUAAAAGUUCAAUAGUGAAAUCAAGUUGCUAUUCCCUUUUUUUAAUUGAUGUUUUUACAUAGGAGUUACCAUAUUGGCUUAAACCAUAAUACAGUUUUCUGUUUCACUAGUAAAUGUAUCCCAGUGCUUCGGUUGAUGUUAACUCCAAAUAAGUUUCUUCCCUAUUUCUUUACAUAGUAACCAUUUUGAUCUAUACUGUUGUUGAUAGGGACAUUGUAUAUACAGUAAUAACUGAAUUUCCUUAAUAAUCAAUAUGAAUAAAUUACAUAUGAUGUGAA